rnacentral:tRNA from 1 species
GUGGGUGUAGCUUGCUGGUGGAGCACAUGCUUUAUAUGCACGAGGCUCUGGGUUCAAUCCCUAGCACUGAGA